ensembl:scaRNA Small Cajal body specific RNA 8
UGGGAGGUAGAUACUUGGACAGUGCAAAGUGGUGCUCUGUCCGUCACUACUCCUCCCUAUAACAAACCUGCUCUCUGAUGACCGGGGCGAAUUAAGAGAAAUCGUCACGGACAGAUACGGGGCAGACAGUU